GAUUUUGACAUUUGGGAUAAUUUUAAAUAUUGUUCUCUUAUACUGUAAAUCAAGAAAUGAUUAUUAGAAUUUAGUUUGGGAUUAUCAAGGGCACUAAGAACGCUCAUACUAUCUGUGACAAUUAACCAGUUAUUAUAUUCCUGUUUCUCUAUAUAUUCCAGUGCCUUUAAAAUAGCCAUAGCUUCAGCGGUAUAUAUGCUAGCAAGUUCAGACAAUUCCUGAGCUAUAUAAGGAAGGCUAGAACUGUUACCAGAGGAAAAACAAUGAAUUAUUUUCAAGACAAGAGGAUGAUUAGUUAUAGAUAGAAGUUUAAGGAUAAACUUGGAUUUUAAGAACGAAAACCUUAAUUUCAACGGAGGGAUGUUGCAUUCCACUUGCAAUGAGAUUAUAGGGGUAGACCUCAUAGCUCCAACAACUAUGCGUAAACACUUGUUUUGAAUUUUUUCCAAUUUUUCCACCAAAUAUGAGACAUUACCAAAACAAUAAAAAGCAUAUUCAAAGUGACUUCUAGCUAUAGAUUUAUACAAAUUUAA